rnacentral:rRNA from 1 species
GACGAACGCUGGCGGCGUGCUUAACACAUGCAAGUCGAGCGGAGCGGCGAACGGGUGAGUAACGCGUGAGUAACUGCCCCCCUCUCUGGGAUAACAGUUGGAAACGGCUGCUAAUACCGGAUAGUGGGGGAUGGCUCGCGUCCUAUCAGCUUGUUGGUGGGGUAGUGGCCGACCAAGGCGACGACGGGUAGCCGGCCUGAGAGGGGGACCGGACACAUGACGCUAAGAUAGGUCCCAGACGCGUACGGGGGGCAGCGGUGGGAAGUAUUGCACAGUGGGGGAGACCGUGUGGCGACGGCGCCGGGUGCGGAAUGUCGGUCUUGGGGGUAUAAACCGCUUUCAGCCAAGACGCGGUAGUGGCAGAAGAAGCACCGGCUAACUACGUGCCAGCAGCCGCGGUAAUAC